AAGUCGUAACAAGGUUUUCGUAGGUGAACCUGCGAAAGGAUCAUUACCGAAAUGAAACGCAUUGCUUGCAAUGUACUCUGGCUUUAGGAGAAUGGGUAGCACUUCGUGUUACUUUCUCCAACCGCUGGUGGCGAGCGCUUUACGGCGCAACCUGCUAGUGGUGGCAGUGGCCUGUCUCGCCGACGCGGACGAACACUGUUCCCUAAAACAAACUUUCACUUAUGUGUGUUAGUUUGCCUGUGCUUGAAAAGGAAACACAAAGCAGAAACAACUGCAAACGGUGGAUCACUCGGCUC
rnacentral:misc_RNA from 1 species